AACGAACGCUGGCGGCAUGCCUAACACAUGCAAGUCGAACGAUGCCUUCGGGCAUAGUGGCGCACGGGUGCGUAACGCGUGGGAAUCUGCCUUUCGGUUCGGAAUAACUCAGGGAAACUUGAGCUAAUACCGGAUAACGUCGCAAGACCAAAGAUUUAUCACCGAAAGAUGAGCCCGCGUAGGAUUAGCUAGUUGGUGAGGUAAAGGCUCACCAAGGCGACGAUCCUUAGCUGGUCUGAGAGGAUGAUCAGCCACACUGGGACUGAGACACGGCCCAGACUCCUACGGGAAGCAGCAGUGGGGAAUAUUGGACAAUGGGCGAAAGCAUGAUCCAGCAAUGCCGCGUGAGUGAUGAAGGCCUUAGGGUUGUAAAGCUCUUUUACCCGGGAAGAUAAUGACGGUACCGGGAGAAUAAGCCCCGGCUAACUCCGUG
rnacentral:rRNA from 1 species